GUCUAUGGCAUGCUACCCCAAACACGCCCAAUCUUGUCUGAUCUCGGAAGCUAAGCAGGGUCGGGCCUGGUUAGUACUUGAAUGGGAGACCAUCUAGAAAUACCAGGUGCUGUAGGUG
rnacentral:rRNA from 1 species